rnacentral:rRNA from 1 species
AAUCAACGCUGGCGGCGUGCCUCAGACAUGCAAGUCGAACGCGAAAGGUUCCUUCGGGAACCGAGUAGAGUGGCGCACGGGUGAGUAACACGUAGGUAAUUUGCCUUUGGGUGGGGAAUAACUCAGGGAAACUUGAGCUAAUACCGCAUAAUGCAGCGGCUCGACAUCGAGACAGUUGUUAAAGCGGGGGAUCGCAAGACCUCGCGCCUAAAGAGAAGCCUGCGGCAGAUUAGCUAGUUGGUAGGGUAAUGGCCUACCAAGGCAACGAUCUGUAACCGGCCUGAGAGGGCGGUCGGUCACACUGACACUGACAUACGGUCAGACUCCUACGGAGGCAGCAGUCGGGAAUUUUGGGCAAUGGGCGAAAGCCUGACCCAGCAACGCCGCGUGAAGGAU